UUUCUUAAAUUUCUGUUUCUAAAAGCUUGCAUUCUGAGCAAAAAUCAGGUGGUAAAGCCUUGUAAUGAGCUGGAAGAUCUUAAUGAGAGUGAAUGUUUGAGCUACAAAUGCUGUUUUUCAUCAUUGGAGAGCAUGAGCUUCAAAUGUUUUGCUCCAUUAAGAGAUGAGCCUAAACAGAUGAUGCGAAUGUUUGGGCUUGGUGCAAUCAGCCUGCUCAUCCUGGGAUAUCUGCCUAUUUAUUGCUGCUGUCUUUUCUGGAGGAGCAAAUGGGCCGAGUAUUUACGAACGAAGGUCAGCAGAGUUAUAACGGGUUUGAAGAAACAAAGAAGGAAACGAAAGAAGUCUAGAAUGUUACAGAGAGCAGCAAGAGGAGAUGAGGGACAUGGUGAAGAGUAGCAAGAGACCAAAGCAUUAUUUUCCCCUUGAGACAACACAAACCAUUCAGAGCAGAGGGGACUGUCUCAGCCAUCAAAACCUCGUGGAGCAUUUUGAAAAGUUAAAAAUUGGUUUUUAUUUUUGUCGUGUUUACUUUCAAACAUGAAAUAAAAUUGAGUUCUGUUUUCAUGCAUCAAA